CGCCCGCAAUUCCCCCACGAGCCCUGGGGAGACCCAGCGCUAACCAGGGGUGCCCAAGGGAGGAGCCGGGAGAGGCCCUCCUGGAGGUGGGCACAGCCCAGGCAAACAUCAGCAGACGGAACCAGCACCCGGGACCCAGGGAAACGUCACCUGCCACCAGGAGCUCCACAGGGUCGCUGAGCUCCGAUUCGAAGGUGUGGGGCACCCAGGAGCGGUAGCGGCACCUGUAGUUGCCGGCGUGCUGGGGCCCCACGAAGAUCAGCUCGAGGUUCGCCGCGGCCCCGGGGGUGCGGACCGUCUUCACGGCCUUCGUCUCGCCCUCGCGCAGCAGCUCGAAGGUGACGUCGGGGAUGGGUCCCUCGCAGCGCAGGACGGCAUCUCGGCCCGCCAGGACCGCCCCACUCCACGUCGCCCGGAGCUGAGGCCUGGGAGGGGGUCCUGGGCGGAGCGGGCGGGUGGUCGGGCCAGGCCACGCCCCAGGCCACGCCCCAGGCCACACCCCAGGCCACACCCCAGGCCGCGCCCGCGCCUGCGCCUCAGCCCCGGCUUCAUCUUCCCUGUCUUGUUCCUGGGCGCAGAGGGCUCCUCCGGCGCCGCCGAGCUGCGCCCGCUGCCUUCACACCCCGGACAUCCGCGCCACACGGACCCAGACCCCAGGAGGCCUCACCCCACAGCAAGAGAAAGACCACGAGCAUGGACAUGAUGGUCGCGCUCACUCCGGUGCAGUGAGUGUCUGGGUGAUGGAUCCUAGAACCUGUUCUAGAAGGAGACGCUGAGUUCUCCCCACUCUACCUGGAGCUGCUGAGGUCAAGUGGAGAGUGCCGGGGCUGAAGCCCAGCGAGCCCCUCCCUGUCACACCACACUGCACAUGUGACACCAAAGGUGGGGUUCACCUCUUUUCAGACUUUCUGCGGUUGCCCUCACAUGGGCUGUCUGGAGGUGCACCCUCACUCUUCCUGAGGACUGUGGUUCCUUCUCCAUCACUGGUUCAUUCUGCAUGGUGUGACCCACCACGGCUCUGGAGUCGGAUUUCCACCCAGGUCAUUCAGCUGAGACCUGCGCUUCCCAGGCCUACCCGUGACAUGUGCUCAGUUACCUGAGCUGCUGGUGGUCACUCAUGUGGCUAUAGCCUGCUGCCUGGAGGCCAGGCCUCCCGCUUCCCCUGCCUCCCCCUCUCCUCACCACAGCCUGUUGGGAUGGAACAGGACAGGGGUGAGACCGUGGUGCUUUCACACUCAGCCUCCAUGGACAUCCUGUCAUUCCCACCCGGGGAGGUCUGGUCCCCACCCUGGGUGUCCCAGCCUAGCUCCGCUACGAGUGUGAGGGCCCAGGGCAACCGCCUAGCCCUCAUCUGCCCCCUGCACUGCAUCCUCCCCACUCAUUCAUUCCACAGGCAUUUAUUGAGCAUCUACUGUGUGCCAGAUGCAAAGAAGACAGUGGGAUAACUGGGCAAGGAGCAUUCCAGGCAGAGGGAACAGCCAGUGCAAACAUGGGAGAUGCGGGUGCAGUGAGAAGGAGCAGAGGAGACCAGGAGUUGAGGCGACUGCAGAGCGAUUGCAGAGCUCAUAGACGUGAUGAAGACCAGCUGGGCACUGCAGCGGCUCUGGCUUCUGCUGUGAGGGACGGGGAGCUGUGGAGACUCCCUCUGUUUGGUCCCAUUUCCAUAUUGCUGAGCACCUGCUGCAUGCUCUCUGUCCUGCUCAGAGCCAGUACCUGGAUGGAGGCUGUGUGUUCUGGGUGGACUGGGGGAGAAUGCAUUCUUUGCAGAAGAGACAACCAGGUGCUGAGGCCUGAAGUCAUAACCAGACCUGGGGCACUCAGACAAGGACUGGUGGCCAGGCCAGAGGAGCAGAGCUCAGGGUGUGCACAGAACUCAGAAGUCAGACCACUGAACAGUGACAGAACCUUUCAGCCCAUUGGCAAUGAGGCUGCCCAGGCAGCCAGAGGCCUGGUCAAAUCUGAGGUCUGCAGAGAUGGAGCUGUCAUUCUGUGUUUCCUUUGGCAGUCCCAACACCAGCCUCGUUGCACCCUCCUCUUAGCUUCCCUGGGUUCUCCAGCCCUAAGGGUGGUAGCAGCUUCCUGCAAGUAUCCAGCUCUGAGAUUCUGCAACAUCCACUUUUGCUCUCUGAGCCUUGCAAAACCUGCACAAUCAGUCCCUAACUUAUAUCCCCUCUGUUUGAAAUACCUAGUGUGGUUUCUAUUUCCUGACUUGACUCUGACUGGUGUGGUACUUGGUAUAAAGAAGGUUCCCUGGCCAGGUGCGGUGGCUCACGCCUAUAAUCCCAACGCUUUGGGAGGCUGAGGCAGGAGGAUCACUUGAGCCCAGGAGUUUUGAGACCCGCCUAGGCAACAUGGUGAGACACUGUCCUUACAAAAAAUUUUAAAAUUAGCCAGGUGUAGUGACGCAAGUCUGUCAUCCCAGCUGCUUGGGAGGCUGAGGUGGGAGGAUCACCUGAGCCUAAGAAGUCGCGGCUGCAAUAAACAGUGAUUGCACCACUGCACUCCAGCCUGGGUGACAGAGUGAAACCCUGCCC
rnacentral:lncRNA from 1 species